ensembl:lncRNA
GCCAAACAUAACUAUUUAUUCACUUUCUCUUAUAAACAGCAUUCAGUUUCUUACUGGGGAAAAAAAAUCCUAAAAUUUAAAUACUUCCUCAUCUCAUUACAUACCACAAUCUGUAUAUAUUAUUUACAUCUCUCAAAUAAAACAUGUUAUGAAUCUUUGACAUUCAUUUUUCCCUCUCUUUUAGAAUCAAUAUGAUGUGUUGGUAUAACCUAAGAUAAUAACCAUUAAUAACUACAAACUGAAGUAAGAUUGGCACAGUUAGUUUAUAAAUUCUCAUAAUGUAUUUCAUAUUUUACAUCUAUUUUUUUUUCUUCAAGCUGCUUUAAUAUAAAGUGGAUAUGACUCUCCAUGACAACAGGGAUCAUGUCCUUAUAGAUUUCAUAAUUGUCUAACAUACUGUAAACAUAACAUGUAUGUUGAAAUAAGAAUGAUCUUGUACUUUUAUUAUUCUUGCUUUCACCUAAAGAGUUUCAUUUAUUCAGAAACUGUCAUAUGCAUUUACUACAUUCUUUUCUUGUCUCAUUUUGAGAGCUAGUGGUAACAGAGUAAAUACACCCUCCAAGCACAGAAGAAUUCAAAGAGAAGCAUUCCUGCACAAAUAGUGCCCCUUGAAUCCUAGGUUGGACAUGUACAAAAACAACAAACUAUAGUUAGUGGAUGUUUUAAAAAAAAAACUCUGAAAAAUACAAUGAUUUAUGAAGAACAAUUUUGAAAGAAAGUGUUCUUAAAAUGAAAAUGCACUUCCUGAAAUAUAUUUUGAAACAUUCAGAAGAACUGCAUUUCAGCUAAAGGAAAAAAUAUGUGCAAACCAAGAAUCAUCCAGCCAGAGUUCGAUGUUACUACUUUCUCUAUUAAGAGAAAUAAGUAUUGUCUUAAAGAAUAAGAACAAAACAAAACAAAAUACCAUUUCAUCACUAGCAAUCUAAAAUCAGUGAUUGGUACUUCAAUGAUGCAGACUUUAAAGAGCUCAAAAUAGAACCCAAAUAAGUCAUCUUUAUAAACAUCUGUAAGGAUGUCAAUUUUCCAACACAACAACCCAAACCUUUGUAUCAAUAAGAAUGGUUCAAAAAUCACCAAGAAUGUUGACUAUCAUGACCCAAACAUCUAAUGGGAGGAAAGUAAGGGAAGAAAUGUACAGGAUAUUAAUAGCAGCACAUAGGCAACUUUACCUGAAAAAGGAGGGGGGAGGGAAAGAGAAAGUGUAAGAAUACAUUAAGAUUAGUCAAUGCUUCUAAUUUAUUUUAAGGAAGUGAAAUUUUCCAAGUUCUCUUUUGUGUCAGAUAGAACGUGACACUACUGGAACUCUAACCUGUAUUAUCUUUUUCUCCCUCCAAAGCCAUUUAAACAUAACUUCAGCUACCAGCAACAAAAAUAUAAAAUGAUCUGUGUUCAGAAUUGUUUCAUCUUUACAAUUACAAUGUAAAGUUCCUCUUCAAUCAUAGGUAUACCUCAUAGGUAUGUUCACCUCUAAAAGUUGCCAUCCAAAACUUACGGACAAACUUGGUGGUAGCUAAAAGACAAUUUCUGUCCUGCAUUUUAAAAAUACCACACAAAACUCAGAUACUUAUGUUCAAAACAAAAUACUGAGAAUCCUGUUCUACAGAAAUUGAGAACUGUUUCAAAGGAUCGUUUUGUUCACAGAUCCAGUUUAGUUUCAAAACAAACUGGAUUUUAUUUUUAUGUGCCCAGAUUUUCAAAGAACAACUAUAAUAUAUGGUCCAUGUCUUUCAAGAAAGAUAUUAAAAAAUAAAAGCAAGUAAUUAUAAUAAAAACAGGAAUGCUUUGUGGAUUUAAACUUCAAACUCAACUAAAAGUAAAAUGUUUAUGCUAUGGGCUUCUCAUAUUGUGAUCUCCAGUCUUAUUACCAUUUUGUGUGAACAAAAGACAUGGAUAGGAUUGAUAAGUCUUCUAGUGUAUUUCUCCUGAAUUCUUUUGCCUUAAUCACUUGAAUCUCUCUAUACUUCUUCCUAAUUAAAACUGUCCCAUAGUGACAAACAGGAUCUAUGACCUUUGUAGCACUGAAUGUCAAUGUCCUUGGGAACUUAUUUUUGUGAUACAGGAUUAAAAGAUAAUAGAAUAACUUUUUUGAAAUUACCAGAAUUUCUAUUGCCAAAUGAAGGUAAGUCCAUCUGGGAGGUCAUACAAUGAUUCAAAUAACACUGCCAUUGCUAAAACCAUCUUGGGAGCUCAAGUUGCCUUCAAAAUCCAUAACAGUCUUUUGAGGAUCAUCCAUCUUCACAAAUCUUUGUAUUAAAGGAUGAAUAUCGUUUUGAGGAAGUAAUCAAAUGUCACCCAGAGGCAAGCAGGAUGAAUAAAGAAGCUGAAUUAUACAAGUUUUAGUUCAAAUGAAGAAACAGUUGUAAUGUAAUUAAUGUAAGGUGGUAAUGAUACAGACUUUCUUCCAUGGCUAGUAAACUGGUUCUGAAGGAAAUUGCAAAAAGGUAAUUCCAAAGACAUUUUGAGUGAUGGUAGUAGCAUCCCCAAAUGAGGAAACAUUUGGAUGAAUAAAAAUUCCUCUAUGACAGUUGAGAUGUUUAAAAAAAAAAAAAAAAAUUAGCCAUACACUAUUAAAUUCUGCCUAAAUUCUCACCUCUAGGCAUUGAUGAGAGAAAAACCAUUAAGUAUCUAUCUUCUAUUAAUACAGCUUUCUAAUAAGUGGGAACAGGGAGAGGAAAGCGUAAAAUAAUUGGUUAAAAAAGACUUAAAACUAAUAACUAAAAUGGAAUCUCAUGAAUUUUAAAAUA